rnacentral:rRNA from 1 species
UACGUAGGGGUCCGAGCGUUGUCCGGAAUUACUGGGCGUAAAGAGCUCGUAGGUGGUUUGUCGCGUUGUUCGUGAAAACUCACAGCUCAACUGUGGGCGUGCGGGCGAUACGGGCAGACUAGAGUACUGCAGGGGAGACUGGAAUUCCUGGUGUAGCGGUGGAAUGCGCAGAUAUCAGGAGGAACACCGGUGGCGAAGGCGGGUCUCUGGGCAGUAACUGACGCUGAGGAGCGAAAGCGUGGGGAGCGAACAGG